CACGUAGGAGGCGAGCGUUGUCCGGAAUCAUUGGGCGUAAAGAGCGCGCAGGCGGCUUGGCAAGUCGGGUGUGAAAUCCCGGGGCUCAACCCCGGGACUGCAUUCGAUACUGUCAGGCUAGAGGUAGGUAGGGGAGGAUCGGAAUUCCUGGUGUAGCGGUGAAAUGCGCAGAUAUCAGGAGGAACACCGGUGGCGAAGGCGGAUCUCUGGGCCUUACCUGACGCUGAGGCGCGAAAGCUAGGGGAGCAAACAGG
rnacentral:rRNA from 1 species